UACGUAGGGGGCAAGCGUUGUCCGGAUUUAUUGGGCGUAAAGGGCGCGUAGGCGGGUGCUCAAGUCCGGGGUGAAAUCCUCCAGCUCAACUGGAGAACUGCCUCGGAUACUGGGUGCCUCGAGUGUGGUAGGGGUGUGCGGAACUAUCGGUGGAGCGGUGAAAUGCGUUGAUAUCGAUAGGAACUCCGGUGGCGAAGGCGGCACACUGGACCACAACUGACGCUGAGGCGCGAAAGCCAGGGGAGCAAACGGG
rnacentral:rRNA from 1 species